UACAGAGGUCUCAAGCGUUGUUCGGAUUCAUUGGGCGUAAAGGGUGUGUAGGUGGCGCCGUAAGUCGGGUGUGAAAUUUCGGAGCUUAACUCCGAAACUGCAUUCGAUACUGCGGUGCUUGAGGACUGGAGGGGAGACUGGAAUUCAUGGUGUAGCAGUGAAAUGCGUAGAGAUCAUGAGGAAGACCAGUGGCGAAGGCGGGUCUCUGGACAGUUCCUGACACUGAGACACGAAGGCCAGGGGAGCAAACGGG
rnacentral:rRNA from 1 species